GAUGAAGAACGUAGCAAAAUGCGAUAAGUAAUGUGAAUUGCAGAAUUCAGUGAAUCAUCGAAUCUUUGAACGCACAUUGCGCCCCUUGGUAUUCCAUGGGGCAUGCCUGUUCGAGCGUCAUUUGUACCUUCAAGCUCUGCUUGGUGUUGGGUGUUUGUCUCGCCUCUGCGUGUAGACUCGCCUCAAAACAAUAGGCAGCCGGCGUAUUGAUUUCGGAGCGCAGUACAUCUCGCGCUUUGCACUCAUAACGACGACGUCCAAAAGUACAUUUUUACACUCUUGACCUCGGAUCAGGUAGGGAUACCCGCUGAACUUAAGCAUAUCAAUAAGCGGAGGA
rnacentral:misc_RNA from 1 species